GCCUCGUAAGCGGAAAGGCAAACCAUGUUGCUUGCCCCGCAGGGUCGCGGGUUCAAACCCCGCCCGAGGCUCCA
rnacentral:tRNA from 1 species